UGGGGAAUAUUGCACAAUGGGCGAAAGCCUGAUGCAGCAACGCCGCGUGCGGGAUGACGGCCUUCGGGUUGUAAACCGCUUUCAGCAGGGACGAAGGUUUUCUGACGGUACCUGCAGAAGAAGCACCGGCUAACUACGUGCCAGCAGCCGCGGUGAUACGUAGGGUGCGAGCGUUGUCCGGAAUUAUUGGGCGUAAAGAGCUUGUAGGCGGUCCGUUGCGUCGGAAGUGAAAACUCAGGGCUUAACCCUGAGCCUGCUUUCGAUACGGGCGGACUUGAGGGAUGUAGGGGAGAACGGAAUUCCUGGUGGAGCGGUGGAAUGCGCAGAUAUCAGGAGGAACACCAGUGGCGAAGGCGGUUCUCUGGACAUUUCCUGACGCUGAGAAGCGAAAAGCGUGGGGAGCAAAACAGGCUUAGAUACCCUGGUAGUCCACGCCGUAAAACGGUGGGCACUAGGUGUGGGACCCAUUCCACGGGUUCCGUGCCGUAGCUAAACGCAUUAAAGUGCCCCGCCUGGGGAGUACGGCCGCAAGGCUAAAAACUCAAAUGAAUUGACGGGGUCAUAGCUG
rnacentral:rRNA from 1 species